UCGGAUAUGGUGUAACGGCUAACAUUGCCGCCUCUCAUUGUGAAUGCAAGCAUUGGCCGCGGCAGCUCGGGGUUCGAUUCCCCGUAUCCGAA